rnacentral:rRNA from 1 species
AGUGUCGUAAGGGUGCGUAACACGUAUGCAAUCUGCCCUCAACAGGAGGAUAGCUCCCCGAAAGGGGAAUUAACACUCCAUAAGAUGGUGAACUGGCAUCAGUUUAUCAUUAAAACUGAGGUGGUUGAGGAUGAGCAUGCGCAUGAUUAGCUAGUUGGCGGGGUAACGGCCCACCAAGGCGAUGAUCAUUAGGGGAACUGAGAGGUUGAUCCCCCACACUGGCACUGAGAUACGGGCCAGACUCCUACGGGAGGCAGCAGUAGGGAAUAUUGGACAAUGGGUGCGAGCCUGAUCCAGCCAUGCCGCGUGCAGGAAGACGGCCUUCUGGGUUGUAAACUGCUUUUAUCUGGGGAUAAAAAGGGAGUGCGCUCCAAAUUGAAGGUACCAGAUGAAUAAGCCACGGCUAACUACGUGCCAGCAGCCGCGGUAAUACGUAGGUGGCAAGCGUUGUCCGGAUUUAUUGGGUUUAAAGGGUGCGUAGGCGGUCUGUUAAGUCAGUGGUGAAAUACUUCAGCUCAACUGGAGAGGUGCCAUUGAUACUGGCGGACUUGAGUACUGAUGAGGUAGGCGGAAUGGACGGUGUAGCGGUGAAAUGCUUAGAUAUCGUCCAGAACACCGAUAGCGAAGGCAGCUUACUAAGGAGUAACUGACGCUGAUGCACGAAAGUGUGGGGAUCAAACAGGAUUAGAUACCCUGGUAGUCCACACUGUAAACGUUGAUCACUCGAUGUUG